AUGUAUGAAUACUUGGAAAGGAAUCUAGCUGGAUGCAACUACAAGUGGAUUUGGAAGGCUAAAAUUCCACUUAAAAUCCAAAUUUUCCUUUGGCAGUUGUUCCAAGAUGCUAUCCUAACUAGGGAUAUCAUGAAGCGGAGAUGCUGGGCUGGUAACCCGAAAUGCUCCUUUUGUAAGGAUAGAGAGACUUCCCAGCAUUUGUUCUUUACGUGCCCUGUAGCUAGAGUGGUUUGGAGGACAGUGGGUUGUGUCUUGGGUACUGAUAAAUGCCCAAACAAUAUUUGGCAGUUCUUCUCCUGGUGUUACAUGUUUUUACCUGAUGGUGAAAGAUUCUACACUUUCGGUUUAGCAGCCGUUUGUUGGGCAAUCUGGAAUUGUCGCAACCAAGCUACCUUUGAACAGAAAAAGCUUAAAAACCCCUUUGCUUUGAGUUUUUCAGCAUGUGGCUUCAUGUCUUAUUGGGCAGGGAUGAUGAAAGAAGAAGAUCGGGCGAUGAUGGAAUGGGGUUCCAAGAUGCUGAAGGCCAGCACUGCAGCCAUGAUGAGGAUCUGUGCGGCGCCGGGCGAGAAGACACUGAACUGA
rnacentral:rRNA from 1 species